rnacentral:rRNA from 1 species
UACGUAGGGGGCGAGCGUUGUCCGGUUUUACUGGGCGUAAAGCGCGUGUAGGCGGUCCCUUAAGUCCGGGGCGAAAGGCGGAGGCUCAACCUCCGAGCUGCGCCGGAAACUGGGCGUCUUGAAUGUCGAAGAGGGGCGUGGAAUUCCUGGUGUAGCGGUGAAAUGCGUAGAUAUCAGGAGGAACACCGGUGGCGAAGGCGGCGCCCGGGCCGAAUAUUGACGCUGAGACGCGAAAGCGCGAGGAGCUAACGGG